rnacentral:rRNA from 1 species
ACGGGUGAGUAACACGUGGGUAACCUGCCUCAAGGAGGGGAAUAGCCUCCCGAAAGGGAGAUUAAUACCGCAUAAUAUGUUUUGAUCGCAUGAUCGAGACAUCAAAGGAUUUUCUUCGGAAUUUCCACUUUGAGAUGGACCCGCGGCGCAUUAGCUAGUUGGAGAGGUAACGGCUCACCAAGGCAACGAUGCGUAGCCGACCUGAGAGGGUGAUCGGCCACAUUGGAACUGAGACACGGUCCAGACUCCUACGGGAGGCAGCAGUGGGGAAUAUUGCGCAAUGGGGGAAACCCUGACGCAGCAACGCCGCGUGAAUGAUGAAGGCCUUCGGGUUGUAAAGUUCUGUCUUCUGGGACGAUAAUGACGGUACCAGAGGAGGAAGCCACGGCUAACUACGUGCCAGCAGCUGCGGUAAUACGUAGGUGGCAAGCGUUGUCCGGAUUUACUGGGCGUAAAGGAUGCGUAGGCGGACAUUUGAGUCAGAUGUGAAAUACCCGAGCUUAACUUGGGUGCUGCAUUUGAAGCUGGGUGUCUAGAGUGCAGGAGAGGUAAGUGGAAUUCCUAGUGUAGCGGUGAAAUGCGUAGA